GCAUCGUUGUCAUGCAGGCAGGGCUGCCGGCUCCCCAAGCCUCCUCCCCGCGAUAACAACCCAGGUCUCAAGCUCUCCAUCGCUUACCACCUGCAGACGUGAAUCAUCUUCAGAACUGGCAACAUCGCUACUUUCAUUGGGUGUCUCAACAGCUUCUUUCUCUAUCUUAAUGGGCAUACUCGACUUACGAGAUUUCUUCUUGGGGAGCAUGUCAAAUGGCAAUUCAUUGGAAACAAGCUGCUCUGGUAUUGAGGAAGAAACAAGAGGCAGAGAAGGAAGAGUACCUGGAGUAUUGGCAAGCUCAGCUGGUGUGACUGGACUACGGUAAAAAGGAAGAACAGGCUGUACUGUCUUCAGGUUUGGAAAGAGGACACCGUUGUGUCCAAUACUGGAAAAUCCAGCCUGGCCUUUUGAAUCUGUACAAGAGCUGGCAUAGCUGGAAAUAGUUCUGCUAUCCGGAGUUAAAAUUGUAAAUUCUGUCCUUUUACUAUCUCCAGGUCCAGCAAUGGUCAAACCAUUUCUUAGAUCUUUAUCCCUGUUAUUUCUGUUCAUUGGCAUAUGGAGUCUGGGGUUAGGAUUUGCACUAUGACGAUUUCGACUACGCAAUGAGCUAAACACCAUGUUGCAGCCCUCAAUGGUGCAUUUGUGCUUUAUCUUCAGAUGAACAGCAUUGUAAUGUAUUUUCAAAGUACCUUUGUCGUAAAAUGUUUUUUCACAUGCAGUGCAGAAGACACGCCCUUUCCUUGGCCCAGCAUUUUUUUCAACAGAUUUAAUUUUGUUUUCUGGAGAUAGUGCUGUCAUUUCAAGCUUUGCUGCUGUAUUAUGUGAACUGGAAUCACUUAAAAGGGCAUCAUCUUCUGUUUUAGUGACAUCUGGACCAUUUAUGCUCCUCUCAUUUUCAACUUGAAAUGGUGCAGAACUAGAAGUUAAGAAGCUGCUUUCAGAAAAUGGUAUCUGAAGAUCUUGUUUGGUUUCAUUGCUAUGGUCUUGACCUUGCUCAAUCAAAUGUCUUUCUGGUGGUGAACCUAUCAAAGGUGGAGGCACUGGACUGAAAAACUGAAACGGCAGCAUGAAAGCCAUGUUAUUUACAAUAUUCUCAAAGGGAUGAAUGUUGGUGGGACUCAUUUUGUCCAAGGAAGCAGAAAAAUUAGGACUGUGUGGAUUGCAGCUCUCAAUGAAUGCCCUAAUAUCCAAAUUGGCAGUUGGUGGUGGUAUUAUGAUCGAUUGCCCUUCUUUCUCUUGAAUUGCCAUUAACUCUACAAUGGACUUAGUUUCUCCAAAGCGAAGAAACUGCUGCAAAGUAGCCAGUUCUUCUUCAGUGGUCAUUAUGCUCCAGUGAUCCAGCACCUUUCCUGAAGCAUCCUAAAGCCAAAAAUAUUUAAAUGAGUUAGACAUUAGUUAAGGCAAACAAAAAACACCUCCCCCUCAAAUGUCUCAUUUUUUUCAGGGACUAAAAUUUCUUCUCUAGCAAAACAAUACAAACAUUGAAUUUAAUGGGAUUAAUGUGAAGUCUGUGAUAAUUUCUUCCAAAUGUUACCAUGUUGGUGAUAUUAUUUCUUCAUGAACUAACAGUAAUACUUUCCAAUAAACUAUUUUUUUUCACAGAAAUUAAGACAGGUUAUUUGAAAAACAGAUAGUAUCUUGUAAGCACAGACAGCAGAGAUGGAGCAAUCAGACCAAGAUUUAGCUCCUCAUUUAAGUCAAGUAUUCUUUCAUUGCAAGUUUAAUAAUCUUCCAAGCAACUAAGAUCAGAGAACAAAUGAACCUGUAUUGAUCUAUUGCCAGUUUUCACAGAGCACAGCUGUAAUUACACUAGUGUUGGAGUUCUUUCAAACUCUAGCUAUGCCUAACUUUUCCCAAUAACUACAAUAAAUAUUUUAUCACAGAACAUGUAUUUGAUGGCCUACUGAGAUUUUUCACAGUGCAUGUAAGAGUUUCUAAGAUGAUGAAGAACGUAACAUUAUAAAUUUUUCAUGUGAUAGAGGUUCAAGGUAAUUGAUUCCAUAUUUUUAAUCCUAACACUAAAAAGCAAGAUUAUCAAGACCAUUAAAUAUUGAUUCAUGUCAUAAUGUAAGAUCAUAAUGUUACUUUACAUAAAAGGUAACUUCCACAGCAGCAAGGACUAACAUCAGUGGAAAAACAUAGGGCCAAAUACACUCUGGCUGCAGCUCCAGUAAGGUCGGUAGCACUAUACCAGAGAUUAAUAUUGUCCCUAGUGUUUUAAAUAAUGGUAAGUUUAUUUCUUGAUGCAUUAUUCUGCUGUAUAAAAGCAAACUCACUGUUUAAAUAAUACUGGAGCAAAUUCUAAAGCCUUUACUUUGAUACAUUACCAGUAACUGUUGAUUUUUAUUUUUGCUUACCUUUGUUAGAUUUGAGCAAGUGGAAAGAUUUCUAUUAAGUCCAACUAAAAAAAAAGAGACCAAUCACCAGAAAUUCACCCUUUCUUUUCUGGCAUUAAGCUCAUACAGGUCUAUUACUGCCUUUCAGAUGCGCCACACUGUUAACAUAUUGUGAACCACUGAGAAGAUUAAACUAGAAAACUACUUAACUGUCAUAUUUCUAUAAAAAAGCCCCUCUAAAUACCUGUAGCACAUAUCCACGUAUAUAAUCCUGCAGUGUCCAAUCCAGAGCAUGGAGAAUCUGUAUCACCUCUUCCUGCUUCAGAACACUGAAAAGCCGAUCGAGCAGAAUUUUAAGGCGCACAGGAAUGGCUUGGGUUCCAUACAACAUGAGGCUACUGAUAUCAAAGACAACAUUGGAUUGAACUAUUUCUACUUGGCUUGAUGGGUAGAGGUUUGGAAUCCUUAGUUUGCUCAGGGCUGAAAAUAAAAAUCACAAAAUGUAAAUAAACUUGAGUCCCGAGAGAGAGAAAAUUGAAUGCAACUAAUAUUGGUGUGGGGGUUGAGGGGUGACACAAAAAGCAUGUAAUAGUUAUGAGGAUCCUAAACGGUUUUCUAUAGAUUGUAGAAACAAAUAUUACCAUGUGCUACCCAUCCAUGCCGGCACUGGUCACAUUGUCGCUGAUUUAUUUUCCCAGGCUUGAAACACUGACAACUACAGUUCAUGAGAGUGCACCGGAUAGCCUGGAGAUCAAUGAGAAGCAUGAUAGGUGAUACAUAAGCACCGUUCAGUGUGCAGAUUAUACAUCCACAGUACCCCCAUAAAACCCCCAUGAAGACAGCGUUAACACACCAGCACACACCUAUCCAUGUGCAAUAUAAGUAAUCCAGGCAAAGCCUGAGUUAUACAAAGCUACCUCUGCCUGAAAGAGUCAAGUCACCAGAAGAAACACUACAGUAAUAUGGAAGCAGGAUAUUUAACAAUAUACAUAGCAACACUUCUGUGGAUCUAUUUAGGCUGAAGCACCUUCAUAACCAUUAUAAAGUGUUACAAGCUGUGAUCCUCAUGUAUGAUCACUUUCUCAGGAAGGUUUGAAAACAGAUGUACAGAUCAAAGACCCCCUCUCUUGCAGUUCUGCUGGAACUCCACACUGCAAUGUAGGAAGUUCUAAUGAGCACUGCAUUAGCUCUGCACAGAUGCCAUGCCCUACACACAUGGAAUUCACAUGGAAUAUAUGUAUUCUGUCAAAGACACAGGAGUUCCCUAAUGCUUCUCAGUAACAAAGUUCACCAAAAAGUACUCCAAUUCCUCAAAGACUAAACAAUCACAUUUUGUAAGGGAAAUGCUUGAAAGCAAAAUAGAGCACACAGAGAGCAACCAGUUGCACAGUUCCAAUUUGUACAUCACUUUACUCUCACCAAGGUCAUCUAUAAUGCAAAUCAAAUUAGUAUUCAGAUGUCCCUAAUCAAUGGGGUGAUACAAACGUGCUUCCUGGAAUACAUGAUUUCUUCUGUAUGUGCCCAUCUGCUGCAGAAGGCAAACAGACAACUUGGAGGUCCUAGUUAAAGCUCCAGAGGGACUGCUACAGAGCAAAGCUUUUGCAGGAUUCUGCACUGCUUGGAUCUGAUACUGAGAAUAGUUCCUGCAUAAACAGAAUAUUUAUUGAGGGAGGGAAAGCAAAGAAAUUGAUGUGCAGGAGAUCUUCACUGGAAUAAUAAAGAAAAAGAGUUAGAUCAUGCAAUUGUAAAAUGUCUGCAUUUUUCUGCUUUUAAAUUAAUGUUCCCUCUCCUCAGGUCUUACGCAAACUGGGGACUUCCACUCCUCAAAAAACCCAUAAGAAAGUAAGAUAAGAUUUGAAGAAAAAAGGAAACGUGGCAUUCCCACACUGGCACUUCAGAAAACAUACAAGGAAGCCUGAUUAUCUGAAAACUUGAUAAGAAAGAUGGAUGCAAGAAACAUUUAAACUCAAAAGUACAUGGCAGAAAGAUUGUUCCACUGAGAUUUGCAAUGGGCAUUUCUUUAGACUUAAAGAAUCUGAUGGAGGGCAGAAGAGGACACUUCAUACAAAUGCUUUCUACAAACAAGCAUGUUCAUGACAUUUGGAUGCCUAGUGCUUCACAGUAAUGGAUUUGGAGUGAGCUUUUAAAACCUCAGUGUCUGGCUUAUCCAGGAGUUACGUGACAUGCACAUCUCCAAACUGCAGUGACUUGAUGCUGAGAUUUGCCAAAAUUUGAAGAAUCGGAACAAGUGGCAACAGGGCUUUUGAAAUCUCUGAAUCACUUUACCUUUAAUCUUUUAAAGGAGCCAUUGCAAAAUCCUGUGUUCUUGAGAAAAGCUCUGUGCUCCCCAUGAAGUCAUAAAAUACACAUCAAUACCCUAUGCAGUGUCAAUUGCUUCAUUUUAAUGGAGGAUAUAUUUUCACUUAGAUGCUAAAAUCUUUCCACAUAACAAUAAAAAGCCAUAAAUUUCUGAUGGAAAGGCUGGGGGAAGAAAAUGUGCAGUUGACUGUGGAUUCAUUUCUACCACAAGAUAUCAAACAAUAAUGCAGUUCAAAUCUUCUGCCUCUCUACAUAUAUAAUAUUCUGUGACUUGCCUGGACUGAAGCCCUUCCACAGGCAACCCUGCUAGGUUCAGAAAGGUACAGUGCAUUCCAAAAAUGCAUCUUUUACAUUCCCUUCAGACAAAAUUACAAAAGAGUACUUCCUUUUUCUGCAAGAAGUAACAGAAAUCUGCACAAUGAAAAAAGCUGUCACGAUGAUAAGUUAAUUGAGAUUUCAAAAUUUUUUUCAUUCCUUUUCCUUUGGACAUGUUCCACAAACCACUGACCUUUAAAACUAUUUUUUCUACUUAAUUUGUGUACUUGGACAAGAAAGAUAUGCCACACCAAAUUUUGCAUUUCAUAGCUUUCUAUAAGAGCUUUCUUCUAUAUGGUACAUGUAUUUAUUUUGCUUUCCUGUGUAUGUGUAGAAGACUGCACAUGCCAAAACAGGAACAAGUAAAAGGAGGACAUUUUGUUUUACAUAUAUGAAAGCAGCUGUUACAAAGGGAGUAGAGCUCCCCUUCUAUUCUAAAUAUUGAACUGAUCCCCUCUCAAGUCACAUUAUUGCUUCUGGAAACUAGAAGCAGUUACCAUGCAUCCUGCUAACACAUCAAAAGGUGCAGCCUCGAAUCUGGGAUCUGUUGCUGUCUUUAAAAAAUGACUUGAAAGAAUCCCUAAGAAGAAACAACGGAUUUUUCAGGUUUUUAGCAUUUCCCUUCAUUUAUGCUUUUCACAGUCUGUGUCUCCUAAAACUUUUCUAGCAACAUUUAUAAUAAUAUAAUAUAUAUAAUAUAGUCACAGACAAUAUAUAACAGAGCAAAAUCAACUUUUGAAAUAAUCAGUGAGUCACAAUUUUAAAUUGUCACUGUUCAACUUUAAAAGGUACUUGUAAAAGAUGCACUUUGAUUAUCUCCCAAAUUAACAAAUAUCAGAGUUUAAUGAAUAGAAAUUUAGCAAAAGUUCAUGAAAAUAAUACCCUUGUCUUUUGCCUGUUAAUCCUACUAUCCUUAAUACGCCUAUUCUGAGGUACUGUAAUUAUAUUAAGUCUUUUAAUAAGCUUUAUUUUCCCAACAAGUGGAAUGUACACACAAUUUCAUUCUGCAGAACAAAGGAAUAACUUUCUGUAUUGCAUAGAUGUAAAGCUUGAAAAUUAUAAUUAAAGGAUUGGGAAUGUAGAAGGAAAUUACAGUAGAAUUUUUUUCAAGUACAAUCCUUUCAUUCACAUCAUUAUUUAAUUUCAUUUUCUAGAAACAGAAGGCAGAUGGUCUAAAAAAUUAAAUCUUAUGCUAUCAUCAAGGAUCUUGGUAUUGCUUUCCAGUCACUCUCUCCUUCACAAAUGGAUCUUUCCAAAUCCAUUAUCAGCCACACUUUCUUAAUUCUUUUAGAAAAUAGAGUUGAAAGAAUUGAUCAAAAUUUUCCGUGGUUUUACCAGCAUGACCAUGGGAAUCUGAAUGCUGAACUUUAAAUAAAAAUGAUCCCUCACUACAAGACAGACAUUAACCUAUAAACUGGUCACUGAAAAACAUCUAACUACUAAUCACUGAAUCUUAACAUCUGCUGCCUGAAAGUCACACCAGCUGACCUCCUUUUCAUCGCCAGAUAUUGACGUGGCUUCAAUUAUGCUUCAAAAGUUACUGAAUGUUUCUUUGCAACCCACUCACAGCCCUCACAGCUAAGGAAAAGCCCAGGCUAAUGGGAUGUACUCAUGCUGAUUCUGAGUAUAUAAUCAGGCUUCAUUCCACAAAGUAAGUUUUUGGUCAUCCAUGCUCUGCUGAUGUCUUCUGGGACCUAUGCUCACUUGCAGCAUUCAACGGGUUUGAAAAAACGCAGCAAGAGAAGAAGAGCACUGCAAGUGUAUCCAGUCUCAUUCAGUGUUAAGUGUGUUCUGGUUUGACAGCACUUUGGCUUGGGAAAUAAAUGAAGAAGCAAGGAAAUAUCGAAGACCUUGUCAGGACUGAGUUGGAGAUCUCUGCUCGUGCUGGAAAGCUGGUCUGGGUCUCUGCACACAGUGAGGGCUGCAAGUGCAGACAGCGGUAAAAUGGAACAGCAAGUCCCAGGCUACCCAGGUGCUAUUUACCAACAGAAAUACACAGCUUAGUAAGGCUCUGAAUCCCAUCUGCCUGUGGAGACCAUUAGUAAGGCCCCUGCAGCAUCUUCAAGGAAAGGCUCUGGGCCAUUUUCUUCUUCCUGACAUGCUCACUUCAAAGAGGUAACAAGAUGCCUGGAGGAUGGACAGAAUAUGGAAGCCCUUUGCUGCCUAUGAUUCAUAGUCCAAGCUUACUUGUACAGAGCAGUUACCAAGACGUAUCUUAAGAAUGACCAAAAUGGAAAGCAGAGGGUGACUUCCCUAAAUCUUCUUCCAGCUUCCUAGAAAACCAGCUUCUUGUGAAAAGAAGCAGACAUUGGGACAGGACACCAGCCUUGAGACAGAGGUCCUGGACUUCACUUGGAGCUCUGCCACUGAAUUGCUAUUUGAC